rnacentral:lncRNA from 1 species
UGUGAGAUAGUUAUGAUGUUUUUUUGUGUGCGCUAUAUUUCUUAUCGCCCCUUCUUCAUCCACACCAACUACCUUCUUUCCUCUCCUUUCCAUGUCUAUUCCACUCUAGAUCAGAUUUGAGAGAGAGCCUAAAGAGAAAGAAAAAAAUCAAGAAAUUUUUUUUUAUUUUUCUUGGUGGUUAGGAUCAAUCUCCAAGAUCCUAUAUAAGGCUAUAUCAAGUAGAUUCAAGUAAAGGGCCCUGAUCCAUGCUGAAGAACAAAGCCUAC